UACGGAGGGGGCUAGCGUUGUUCGGAAUUACUGGGCGUAAAGCGCACGUAGGCGGCUUUGUAAGUUAGAGGUGAAAGCCCGGGGCUCAACUCCGGAAUUGCCUUUAAGACUGCAUCGCUAGAACGUCGGAGAGGUAAGUGGAAUUCCGAGUGUAGAGGUGAAAUUCGUAGAUAUUCGGAAGAACACCAGUGGCGAAGGCGACUCACUGGACACAUAUUGACGCUGAGGUGCGAAAGCGUGGGGAGCAAACAGG
rnacentral:rRNA from 1 species